rnacentral:lncRNA from 1 species
GGUGUCCCGUUUAUAAAAUUGGCAAAAGCACCAUCUGUCUCGGGCUGCUGUGCUUAAAGCAGCCACCCACAUCCAAUAAUCAACCAAGUUCUCUUUCCUCUCCUGAUACUUCCUCCAUUCCACUAAGCUGCAUAUUGUUCUGAGUCUCAAAUGAGACAGCAGUAGAUAGAAGAUCCCACAAGUUUCCUUGCUCUUUUCCUCCCUCCCUCACAUACACACACUAACAGUGCCUUAGAUGUUCAGUAAGUUUUAUUGAUUAGAGGUGGACUCAUUUUGA